UCGCAUCUGUGCAUGCAGCAUAUCAAUAAGCGGAGGAAAAGAAACUAACAAGGAUUCCCCUAGUAACGGCGAGUGAAGCGGGAAGAGCUCAAAUUUGAAAUCUUAAAGGGUUUCCCUUUACGAAUUGUAGUUUAAAGAAGUGUUUUCUGUUGAGGUUUUGGUAAAAGUUCUUUGGAAUAGGACAUCAUAGAGGGUGAGAAUCCCGUAUUUGACCUUUACUUUCAACUUUGUGAUACACUUUCAAAGAGUCGGAUUGUUUGGGAAUGCAGUCCAAAAUGGGUGGUAAAUUUCAUCUAAAGCUAAAUAUUGGCGAGAGACCGAUAGCGAACAAGUACCGUGAGGGAAAGAUGAAAAGAACUUUGAAAAGAGAGUUAAACAGUACGUGUAAUUGUCAAAAGGGAAGCGUUUGACACCAGUGUCGUUUUUCUGAAAAUCAAUUAAAGAACUGUUUAUGCUAAGUUGUUUAGACUUUAUCAGCUAACUGUUUAGUUUUGAGCUUUUCUUUAAUGCACUUUUCAGUUAACAAGUCAACAUCAAUUUCUUUUGCUGUAAAAAAGCUUGAGGAAGGUGGCUUGAGAUUCGUCUUAAGUGUUUAUAGCCUCUUGCCUAUGCAGUCGGAGAGAUUGAGGUCUGCAGCGUAGAUCCUUCGGGGCUAAAUGCAUUUGUGCUAAGUUAUAGCAUUUUAUAGACAACUUGUUGACUAUGAUUUGUCUUGUAGCUUACUCGCUUAUGUUAUUUUACCUACGCUUAGGAUGUUGAGCGCAUGUCUCUCUCU
rnacentral:rRNA from 1 species